rnacentral:rRNA from 1 species
UACGGGGGGGGCAAGCGUUGUUCGGAAUUACUGGGCGUAAAGGGCUCGUAGGCGGCCAACUAAGUCGGAUGUGAAAUCCCCAGGCUCAACCUGGGAACUGCAUCCGAUACUGGAUGGCUUGAAUUCGGGAGAGGGAUGCAGAAUUCCAGGUGUAGCGGUGAAAUGCGCAGAUAUCAGGAGGAACACCGGUGGCGAAGGCGGGUCUCUGGGCCGUAACUGACGCUGAGGAGCGAAAGCAUGGGGAGCGAACAGG